GAUGAACGCUGGCGGUAUGCCUAAUACAUGCAAGUCGAGCGAACAGACGAGGAGCUUACGCGUCCGGCGUUAUAGCCCGACGGGUGAGUAACAUGUGGAUAACACAACUAUUAGACUGGGAUGACUACAGGAAACCGGCGCUAAUACCGGAUAACAUGUUGCACCGCAUGGGCCAACAGUGAAAGACGGUCUUGCUGAGACUAAUAGACGGAACCGCGUCGGAUUAGCUAGGUGGUAAGGUAACGACUUACCAAGGCAACGAUGCGGAGCCGACAUGAGAGGGUGAACGGCCACACUGGAACUGAGACACGGUCCAGACUCCUACGGGAGGCAGCAGAAGGGAAUCCACCGCAAUGGGCGAAAGCCUGAUGGAGCAACGGCGCGUGAGUGAAGAAGGUCUUCCGAUCGGAAAACUAUGUUACUAGGGAAGAACAACUGUGUAAGUAACUAUGCACGUCUUGACGGUACCUAAUCAAAAAGCCACGGCUAACUACGUG
rnacentral:rRNA from 1 species